AAAUUGAAGAGUUUGAUCAUGGCUCAGAUUGAACGCUGGCGGCAGGCCUAACACAUGCAAGUCGAGCGGUAGCACAGAGAGCUUGCUCUCGGGUGACGAGCGGCGGACGGGUGAGUAAUGUCUGGGAAACUGCCUGAUGGAGGGGGAUAACUACUGGAAACGGUAGCUAAUACCGCAUAACGUCGCAAGACCAAAGUGGGGGACCUUCGGGCCUCAUGCCAUCAGAUGUGCCCAGAUGGGAUUAGCUAGUAGGUGGGGUAACGGCUCACCUAGGCGACGAUCCCUAGCUGGUCUGAGAGGAUGACCAGCCACACUGGAACUGAGACACGGUCCAGACUCCUACGGGAGGCAGCAGUGGGGAAUAUUGCACAAUGGGCGCAAGCCUGAUGCAGCCAUGCCGCGUGUGUGAAGAAGGCCUUCGGGUUGUAAAGCACUUUCAGCGGGGAGGAAGGCGGUGAGGUUAAUAACCUCACCGAUUGACGUUACCCGCAGAAGAAGCACCGGCUAACUCCGUGCCAGCAGCCGCGGUAAUACGGAGGGUGCAAGCGUUAAUCGGAAUUACUGGGCGUAAAGCGCACGCAGGCGGUCUGUCAAGUCGGAUGUGAAAUCCCCGGGCUCAACCUGGGAACUGCAUUCGAAACUGGCAGGCUAGAGUCUUGUAGAGGGGGGUAGAAUUCCAGGUGUAGCGGUGAAAUGCGUAGAGAUCUGGAGGAAUACCGGUGGCGAAGGCGGCCCCUGGACAAAGACUGACGCUCAGGUGCGAAAGCGUGGGGAGCAAACAGGAUUAGAUACCCUGGUAGUCCACGCCGUAAACGAUGUCGAUUUGGAGGUUGUGCCCUUGAGGCGUGGCUUCCGGAGCUAACGCGUUAAAUCGACCGCCUGGGGAGUACGGCCGCAAGGUUAAAACUCAAAUGAAUUGACGGGGGCCCGCACAAGCGGUGGAGCAUGUGGUUUAAUUCGAUGCAACGCGAAGAACCUUACCUGGUCUUGACAUCCACAGAACUUUCCAGAGAUGGAUUGGUGCCUUCGGGAACUGUGAGACAGGUGCUGCAUGGCUGUCGUCAGCUCGUGUUGUGAAAUGUUGGGUUAAGUCCCGCAACGAGCGCAACCCUUAUCCUUUGUUGCCAGCGGUCCGGCCGGGAACUCAAAGGAGACUGCCAGUGAUAAACUGGAGGAAGGUGGGGAUGACGUCAAGUCAUCAUGGCCCUUACGACCAGGGCUACACACGUGCUACAAUGGCAUAUACAAAGAGAAGCGACCUCGCGAGAGCAAGCGGACCUCAUAAAGUAUGUCGUAGUCCGGAUUGGAGUCUGCAACUCGACUCCAUGAAGUCGGAAUCGCUAGUAAUCGUAGAUCAGAAUGCUACGGUGAAUACGUUCCCGGGCCUUGUACACACCGCCCGUCACACCAUGGGAGUGGGUUGCAAAAGAAGUAGGUAGCUUAACCUUCGGGAGGGCGCUUACCACUUUGUGAUUCAUGACUGGGGUGAAGUCGUAACAAGGUAACCGUAGGGGAACCUGCGGUUGGAUCACCUCCUUA
rnacentral:rRNA from 1 species